CGUUAUCCAGAAUGCUACGCGUGGCAUGCGUCGUCUACAUGCAGUGCUCGAUCAGAUAUGGCACAACAAAACUGGUGACAACUUGUGUCUCUUAACCGGUUCGGCAGGCACUGAUUACUUUUAGCAACGGGAAUUUCUACGUGUGAUGCAGCCUAGAGACAGGGUACGGCCGCGAAUGCACUUCCGCCGUUUUUCGGUGAGCACAACUAACGGACACGGGACGCUUCGAGGUCUGAAAACCCAGAAAAGUGUACGCGUCUUCCGGAGUCUGUUUCGUCCGAUACAGCACGCUCUUCCGCUGCACAACCCUUAUUGUACGCCUACAAUGUACGACCGGAGAUGAGCGUCAUCCCACUGAUCCACGGCGUCCGUAACCGAAGGCAGCAACUCCAGGUUUGGCAUUUGUUGGAGCUGCGCCAAGGCUGGCGGGGGCUUCUGCUGGACAGUUCCCUAAACGUAAGAACAGGAGUCUCCCGCUCAGCAUCCGUGGCACAGGUGGAUAUGCUUGCAACCGUCCUCGAUCGCGAGCCUUCGUUCCCUACUUUGUUCGGCAGCGUGGACUAUAGUGGGUCGUGCGUCACAUGUACCGGUAGAAAUCGGCGUUUCCCGGGUUGCCCUAUAGAAACAGUGCAUGAAAGGUGUUGCCUCGUUGAAUGCCACGUACGGUGGCUGCUGGCCAGCAGUGAGCGUGGGGUGCCAGGGGUUUCCCCGGGUCAGGUAAGUGGUAUGAUACGUUACGGACCUUCCUCGAGGAGGCUCGACUGUUGUGGGCCUCCAUCUCUGCCAUCGCCCUCGCAUGUUCCAGUGCCAUCGGUCCAAAGUUUACGUCGCCUCGACGCGAUUCCCGCGGUUCAUUCGUCUGAUAACAGAAACCCCGACGCUUUCCUCUGCACACAAACAUCUACCGAACCAGGUGAACUGCAAUUCCAACGAGUCCACCCCCAUCGUGCUACAGUUUCGCCGCGACGUACGGUGCUCGUGGAUGUACUUCCGCACUGUUCCGAAAAGUCCUAGAUAGGUGGCUGUUUGGAAUUAUUUGUAUUCAACCACUGUAUCACCCAAGAAUGAACCUGGUGACGCGCUGAAGGUGGAACCACGAAUGAGGAGCCUGCGUGAAGUUUCGCGCUCGUUUGGGCCAAACUUCCUUCUUUUGAGGCAUCCAAAAGUUCACUCCAACACCCCGGGCGUUUUCGACAAUCCCAAACAAAUUGUUCCAUCGGUUUCCAACACUAAAGGUACACUGUGCGCAGCGAGAGUAUCUGUGCUCACUGUCCCUGCAUCUGGUAUCGCUCCUCGAGUUCCUGUUCGGUUUUGAUCGAUGGCGACCUGGCUCUUCGUUGGGUUCGUUCACCAAGCCAUGUUUCAUCUUCCUCUUCAUCCUCCUCGCCGUCCGUUUCGUCCCCGUCGUCCUGCUGUCCUUCUGCCUCACCAAGUUUGAUUUGGCUGUCGUCGGUGCCAUUUUGCUCGGCAGUUCGGUUACUCGCAUGACUUUGACGGCUUUGGUGCACUCGAUCCGGUGGUGCUGCUGCAGUGCUUCGCCUCUUCACGUCUUCAGCGGAGCGACGGUUGAUGAACGACCUGUUUCCCCUGCUCUGUGCGAGAGUGCCGGUGGACCGAGAUUGGUUUCCGCGUUGCAGUCCGUGUGCAGUCGGAGCCUGAGGAGGCACUGCCGGUGGCGAGUUACCUGUUGAGGCUUUUUGCUGUUCGAAACUCUGCCCAACCAUACUGCUUUGCUUCGAGCGUACAGUGGUAGAAAAGGUCGGAACAGACCCAGGAGGGCUCCUGGUCACUGAACCAACCUGAACCCGUGAUUUCCGCACUUUUGAGUCAGCCGCAUUGGCAUCCUCUCCGACUCCGGAGGGGGGUGCCGAGGGUACAUCGAUCAGACUCGUACGUCGAGACGCUCUGCUCGCCUCGUUCGUGUCAGAGCUCUUGCUUGUCAAAGUAUUUCCUCCUGGCAAGGCCCGUCGUGCACCGCUACACGCUAAUCCAUCUCCCUGUUCGUUGCCAACUCCCCAAGAGAGAGUGUUGGACUCGGUGUCAGCGCCCCGUCCGAACGGCGCAGGCCCCGCUGUUUGUGCUCGGGACUGUCGUACUGCCGAGGGGCGGAAAGAGCGCGCUCUCUCCUUUAAAUCUGAAGGUCGUUUUCCGGUAGCGGUGGGGGAGGCGGAUGCUAUUGGCCUUGCUCGAUAGGACUCCCCAAGGGUCCGAACUGAAGAGGGUUCAGUAGCCUCAUUAGGAGAAAACCGCUUGGAAGAACCGUUGGUCGUGGCCUUCAUGCUGCAAGAAAGGCGAACGAAUGGAAAGCGGUUCAAGGAGUGGGAUCUUCAGAAGUGACCCAAUUAUAUGCCUUCUCGUAAAACCUUUUACGGCCGCUUUACUUGCUGUAGGAGGACAUAGAGCUAAACUGUUCAAAAGGGCGCCUAUGCUGGUUGCCGGUUCCGUCAGUUGACCUUUGGGUUGUCUGUUUGAACAGCCAUGUGAUUGCUUCUGCCUGUUUGAUGUGUGAGUUGAAUGACAAUGCAUACGGCCACAAGGAAGACUUUUGGCUGAGAAUCGUAGGUCCGUAGAUGCCAUUCUGGAUCUUGUGGUGCUGCUUUGUUUCACACCAGGUCGCAAAUCACUACUCGUUUUUGUCCGUAUUGCGCCAGCUCAAAUGAAGGAAGGAUAGAGGGGGCGGCUCGUGAAGGGAACUGUGUGUGGAAUCUUCCGUGUUUCGGUCAUCUGGGUUCUCUAAAAGUGGCAUGAAAAGGCAGGC
rnacentral:lncRNA from 1 species